rnacentral:tRNA from 1 species
GCCCCUGUAGCUUAUUAUUAAAGCAUCGGUCUUGUAAACCGAAGAUUAAGUAUCUACUUCUGAGGCU